AUAUAUAUAUAUAUAUAUAUAUAUAUGUGUGUGUGUGUGUGUGUGUGUAUAUAUAUACACACACACACACACACACACAUAUAUAUACACACACACAC
rnacentral:miRNA from 1 species